GCCUUUCCCUGAGUUUUCCCCAAAGUGUGUGGUCUCCAUCGCUACCACUAAUUCAUAUAACAAGAAUAUAUUGAUUUUAGGAAAUGGAUCAGCUGCUGAACAGCAUAAUGGUAUUGCUUGAGCAAUCUGAAUGAAAAGAAAAACACUGCAUCUGAAGAAAGACUCAAACAUGAGAAACUGGGGACUAUUACAAGCAGAAACACGGAAGGAAUGGUACCUCCACCUCUGUAUGUUUUCCUCCUUUUUGCCCUGGAGGGAAUGGAAUGGAAUGGAAUAGAAUUGGAGCCAACUGAGGUUUGACAUGAGUUAUCCAUAAGACAUCCACCAUCACUACUGUCCUUGUUCAUUGAUCCAAAUAGUCUUGCAAGUUAUGCAGCACAUGGCUAAGGAGGUGCUCCAACCAUCUGACACAUCAUUGGUGUUUUGGAGCUAUCCUUUCCACUUUCAUUUGACCUGGAAUCAGUGGAGCUGUCCUAUGACUUGGCUUGUUAUUGUUCAGCCAACAGAGUGGACAGUUAAGACCAGCCUUCUUGUUUUCCACUGAAUUCUAUUUUAGCAAUAGAAUGACAUGUCUUUCCCUCUUUCCCCUUUUAAUUCUGUUUAUUCCCUUAAUUAAAUGAUAUUUGAACAAUU